GCAACAGCGGCCCUGUGGGGCUCCCUUCCUGUGGGGCUGGGCCUCCUUCCGUUCUUCCUUCUCAGCGGUACGGGGCCUUCGCCUUCUUUCUGUGUACGCUCUGCAGCAGGCUCGCCUCACGUGUGUAUUGCGCGGGUAGCCCUGCGGUGGCCUGGCCCGGUUGUGGUGGUCGGCGGACCCCCCUCCCGGUGCCUCUCCUUUCGGCUGUCGCCGGGGUCGGGAGCACUGCGUGGCUGGCGGUGUGGUGACGGCCUUCCCCAUCGCUUCCUGUGUGGUUGUGCAGGGUAAGAAGAGCGGUGCGUGAGCAGCCCGCGCUCACAGGGGUGAAGGCUGGGUUGGGGAGCAGUUGUAAGCUGGUGGGAGCUGAGUAUCGCCCUGAGAGGAUCUAUUGCACACCGGUAUUAUCCUGAGGGGGGUGAUGCUGGUGUGAGGUAGAGUCAGGUGAAUUCUGGCUGAUGUCUGCCAAAUCACCCUGCUCCUCCUAAGUGGGGCUCUUCUCGUGUGUUAUUUAUGAUUCUCGGUCCUCACAUUGCUGCUAGUGUUUCAUAACAGCUUUAAAGCAAUGCGUACUGUAUACAUGCUUGUUAGCCUGUGGGACAGGACCUUGCUGCUCAUAGAAUCACAGAAUCGUUAGGGUUGGAAAGAACCUCUGAAGAUCACCGGAUCCACCCCCCCCUGCCAAGGCAGGGUCACCUGGAGCAGGGUACACAAGGCUCCCUUACACAGCUUCAUGUGUAACUGUGUCUUACUCCAGUACAGGAUGGAUAGAUAAAUCUGUCCUAGUUAAUGUAUUAUAGCUUUUGAAGGCCCUCACCUGAUGCUGACUCUUUCUGAGACGCAUGUCAGCAGUGGUUUUAUUCCCACAGUUAUGGCUGGAGGGUUGCAUUCUCAUGCAGUUCUUAUCAGAGAAAUCAUAAGCUUCCUCUUAUUAUGGUACAAUUGUCACUGGUGUGGUAAGUGCUGAAGAAUCCUGUCUCCUUUUAGAGGUUGCUGUUUGGCUUCCACAGCACUGGUGCCUCCUUCUGUAACAAGUGUUUGUGGCUUAUUAAUCAUCUAACUGUUACAGCAUGUUCAGCUUGCAUACCGUGUUUAUCAAUGAUUAUCAUGCUCAGCCACAUUUGUAAUGUUCCUUACGUUGAUCCAUUCUAGUCAAUCACUGAUAUGAUGUUCAUAGAACACCCAGUUCGGCCGUCUGCAUUCGUGAUAACUUAUUUUCAGACCUUAUUUGAUAAUGUUUAUUUCCUGUGCAGGGAGUUUUGCUAUGGACAGCUAGUCUUGGGUUGUUGCUAUCUCGGUUCAUCUACUUUUCCUUCUUCCUAGAUGCUUGCUUCGUUCUCAUGUUGUAAGUGAAGCUUAAAUAAAUUCUCUUGUCUCUUCUUGGAUCAGUGGAUGUGUUGCCUUUCUUAUUAUUCUAGCCAUCACUUGUUUCAGUCUUAAGAGUAAGGAGGAGGUGCUAUUAAAAAAAAAAACCCUAGGAGCUAAUGUUUGGGUUCUUCUGUUCUCCUGCCUUAUUCUUAAAACCAGUUGUAUUUCAGCUUUUGCAUGGGAAGUCCUCUGUGGUACUGAACGAACUAGCUGCACAGAGGAUGAGGCUGAUCUAAGAUUGUGCCAGACUUUUCUUCUAGGGCCAGAAAAGCCGUGGAGGUUAGCUAAAAUCUUCCAUCUUGCAAAACUGUUUCUGAAGAAGUUAAGCUUUAAAAUUAAUUUGUUCUACUCUUCUUGUAAAAGCUGAGUUUUUUUGAUUCGGGAAAUAAACACCAGCUUAGACUUAGUGUUUCAUAAAGCUGUGUUAUUAGAUGUGUCAUGUGAAAACCAGGAGGUUAAUACAUUGAAAUAGUCAUUGUUCUGGGAUGUAGUAUUGGGAAGGAAAGGUGGCAGAAUAACAGUGUUUGUUCUCAACAGCAGGUAUGUGGAGAGGUUAUCCAAAUCUGCUAAGUUCCAGCUGUACUUCUGGGUGUGAUUUGAUGUACUACAGAACAUCAAAUUCUACAGUACAUAGCUUUAGAGCAGUGAUUCAGGCCUCCUAUGGCUGAAGUCUUGCUGUCUUCUGUGUGUAUAAUUUAACCUCACUUGACAAUGGAGAUGUCCUGGAUGCUCCUAGAUUCACAUUGCUCUGUUACUCCCUUUUCUUGCUCUGUAUCUCCAGCCUCUUCUCCCUUACUUUCAUGGUGCCAGAACUCUGAUUAAGUUAAGGAGGAAUGGGAUUUAGCAAAGUCUCUAGCAGGGGUGUAUGUGCUGGGGUCUUUGGUCCUUGUAAUCCUUGUUGAAAGAUGCAGAUGCAGACACCAGCCUGGCACUGGUUUUCUGGACUUUUCAGCAAAAGCCUAAAUUAUGAUAGUCAGUAUAAUGGAGUCUCCAUCUACACUUUUGUGUUUCUCUGGAAGAUUGUCUUUCUUGAUGUGUUGUAGCUCUGAAUUGCUAUUCUUAAUGUGUACUAGAGAUCAGCUGUACUUACAGGCAAAUCUUUCCCCUUCAGCCUAAAUAGCUGGUGAAGUUUAAGCUUAUAUGCAGUUAAAAGUCUGAUCAGACUCAGCUGAUUGUGGUCAAUUUGAUUGAAUUUCAGUGUGCAAGGGCAGUUUGUCCUUCUUACAGAGAAGCAAAAGUCCCAUUUGCCCAACAUGUGGGUGGCAAUGAUGCUAACCUAGUCAGGCAGCUAUCAGCCUUUUCUAGCUCUAAGAAAGUUUCUGUGCCCAACAGCUUGUCUUUUCUCCAGCUAUAUCAGUUGACUUGAUGAUAAGGAUAGUCUCUCAGUGCCAGCAGCAGGCAGCAGUAAUUCAAAAUGCCUUGCAAAGCAGUUCUGUGCAAACCAGGUGCUUGAAACAUCUUUGUGCCUUUGCUCUGUUAGCAGUAAUGGCAGCGGAAGGAAGUGUCACACUUGCAAUGUACAGAAGAUACUAAUCUGUAUCUCUAGAUUGACCAAGAAGUGCAGUUGCCUAGCACUUACUGCUGUUGAGAAAUAUUUGUGUUUCUCAUCAUCCUGGGUUUGGUCUGACUAUAAUAAAAGGCAGUGACAACUUCCUCUACUAAUAAGGACUGAGCUCUUAUAAACACAAAAACCCUCUGAAACUUGUGAUGUACUGGUUGCUAAUAAUUGAGCUACAGUCCUACUCAGGACAUUGAGUCCUCAAAUAGCAGGCUUCUCAUGGCAAGGACAAGUGACUGCUAACGAGUUCAGCAAUUUGUCACACUUCUAAACAUAUUUACAUCUUCAGAAUGCUUUUGCAUAGAGAUAACAGCUUCCAGGAGGAUUAUGUUGAGGUUGUUCAAGCCUGGCUCUCCCUUAACUGGACCACCCAAUUCUGUGAAAUGUUGGUUGGGCAUAUGUGAAUAUGCAAGACUGUACUGAGUCAAGUAACAAGAUGCACUGUCAUUUACAGUGAGCAUCCCUGUAAGAGCAUGAGCCUCCUGUCUGUUAUGGACAAACUGAGGGAAUGACUCUGCAAAUCUUCUGUACUGCUGUGGAGCAGAGCUGUUUGUCAGGAGAAACAAAAUGAGCAAAGGUUUUGAAGAUUUCAGAGUCAAGUGGCACCUCAGCUUUUGAUCAUGUUCAGGUGUGUUCAGACUGCUUGAGCUGGACCAGUUUUGAAUAAAGCUUCUCUGCUGUUUUAA